rnacentral:rRNA from 1 species
GGAAGUAAAAGUCGGUAACAAGGUUUCCGUAGGUGAACCUGUGGAAGGAUCGUUGUCGAGGCCCGUCGAGCAGCGAGACCCACGAACCAGUGACCUUGACGUGGCCCGCAUGGCUCUGGGGGGCACGGCGCCGCCCACUCUCCCGGGGGACCACGCGGCGAACCACCCCCGGUGUGAUGGACGCAAAGGAACUGAGAUGGAAUGAGCGCGGCUCCCUUCGGGGAUGUCGGUAUGCGUUCGGAACUUACAUGACUAUCGGCAACGAAUAUCUCAGCUCUCGCAUCGAUAAAGAACAUAUCAAAAUGAGAUACUCGGUGUGAAUUGCAAAAUCCCGUGAACCAUCGAGUCUAUGAACACAAGUUGUGCCCGAGGCCACCCAACCAAGGGCACGCCUGCCUGGGUGUCACGCAUCGUGCCGCCCCACACGGCACUCGCCUCAUCCGGCGGCGGCACCGCGGGGCUGAGAAUGGCUGCCCGUGUGCCCCGCACGUGUGGCCGGCUAAAAAGCAUUCGUUCCCCUGUCGGGGUGCAGAUGGGGCGGUAGGUGGUUUGAGUGGCGGCUGCCUAGUCAGAGCCUGGACGUUGUGCUCGUCGCCCCGUGCCCAGGGGCAAGCAGAGCAAAGUGGCACCUCACUCGGCCGCCCCGUGCGGCCCUCGUGUAGCCACCCCAGGUCAGGCAGGGACACCCGCUGAGUUUAAGCAUAUCAAUAAGCGGAGGA